UACAGAGGGGGCAAGCGUUGUUCGGAAUUACUGGGCGUAAAGGGCGCGUAGGCGGCCUUCUAAGUCGAACGUGAAAUCCCCGGGCUCAACCCGGGAACUGCGUCCGAUACUGGAAGGCUUGAAUCCGGGAGAGGGAUGUGGAAUUCCAGGUGUAGCGGUGAAAUGCGUAGAUAUCUGGAGGAACACCGGUGGCGAAGGCGACAUCCUGGACCGGUAUUGACGCUGAGACACGAAAGCGUGGGUAGCAAACAGG
rnacentral:rRNA from 1 species